rnacentral:rRNA from 1 species
AUGCCUAAUACAUGCAAGUCGAACGCUUUUGGGGUUUCGGCUCCAAGGGAGUGGCGCACGGGUGAGUAGCGCGUGGGAACCUGCCCUGUUGUGGGGGAUAACCGAGGGAAACUUCGGCUAAUACCGCAUGCGCCCCGGGGCCUGGUCUUCGGAUUAGUCCUCGGGGGAAAGAUUUAUCGCAGCAGGAGGGGCCCGCGUCGGAUUAGCUGGUUGGCGGGGUAACGGCCCACCAAGGCGAUGAUCCGUAGCUGGUCUGAGAGGAUGAUCAGCCACACUGGGACUGAGACACGGCCCAG